ACUUGUUAGAUGGAACUUGUGUCUCAGGAUAACAUCUUAGUCUUUUACUGAUAUGUCUAACGUCACUUUUCUGUUUUGUCCUAGACAAGCUGACAUCAUCUCCCAAGAUUUCUUUCUAAACUUGUCUGUAAGAGUUGCAAAGACUCAGGGCUGAAGAUUGCUAGAUACAGGCGAGUACUGAAAGCAUCUUACAACCGCAUAUUUUCCAAAGAGCUCAAAACAAGACCAAAGGAAGCAAAACUCUGCUUAGAAUUCCCAGAAGCAGCCGCAUCAUCUUGGCACGGGAGAAGCAUCUUUGAACUUUCCGAUGGACAACAUUGCAGAGAUCCCCUGCUGCCC
rnacentral:lncRNA from 1 species